UUUCAUUUGGAAUUAUAUAAGCCUUCAUAUUAUGCAUUCAAUUGUUUGGCUUAUAUGUCAUUAAUGAUUUGGCUUGAUUAAAAUUCAGAUUCUCCCCCUCAACAUAUGUAUUCUACUAUGUUUUGAUUCUCUGAAUUUCCUUUUAAUGCUUUGAAGUUUUUGAACUGAAUUUUUUGGUUUUUAGAGGGAAAAUCUGUCAAUUUGUUCUUGAGUAGGAUUCAGCUAAUCUCCGAAUAUUCCUUGAAUAGAUUCUGGAGAUUACUCCAUUAGGAGCCCCAAAAGAGAGAUAAUGAGCCUCGAGGUACCGAAUCCACUUAGAACAAAUUUGUGUGUUUUAGGAGUUUAUCUUUUUAUUGAUUUCCAUUGAUUCCUUUUACAUAUUUUAUGCAUAUUUCUCCCCCUUUUACAUAUUUUAUCCAUAUUUCUCCCCCUUUUUGUCAUCAUGUCAAAAAGGAGGUAAUCAGAACACACAAUCAAACAUAGAUCAAAAGGCAC
rnacentral:lncRNA from 1 species